GACCUUGGACGUCCUAGCUUGACCCAACCGAACUUCGCCUCUGUCCCCGGGUGGCCUCUGUCCCCGGGUGACCGCUGCGGAGGAGGCGGCCGCUUGGGAGCAGCCCUCGAAGGCACGUCCGGCCUCCUCCCUCGUUUUGGUCCCACUCCGGUUGGGAUCCCUGUUUUCCGUUUCACUCAAGGAGCCGUAGGAACCGCCCUGGGGUCCAGGCGGACGGGGAGGGGCGCCUGGCCCUGGGUGCUCGAGGGAACGACCCAAAAACGCAAUCGAAGGACGAGGAACCUGCUCCCUGGAGGAGGCGGCCGACCCCUGGGGAGCGUGCGUCCCGGUUCAUUGCGGUAUGCCGCAGAAGACCGCAGCUGCUUUUCCAAGUUAUCCAUAAUUCCUGGCUGUGUGCAUUUUUUGGCUUAACUGAACCCCAUCUGUUCCUCUGAGGAGAAGGCCAGCUUUCAUGUCAUGAGAACAUUCAGGAAGCCUAUGGAGAACCCCAUGGGAACAGGUCACCAGCCAACAGCCAGCAAGUGACUGAGUGGUGCCCCAGACUGUGUGAGGGAGCUGGGAGGCAUCCUUCCUUGCCUUCAUCACAGAAUUCCUUGCAAUGGCUAACCUGGACCUUGUAAACAGCAUCAUCCCUCCUAGAUACCGGAUGCCACACAAAAUGUGUAGGUGCGUUGGAUCUUCCUUCUAAACCCUUCUCCCUCCCCUGAGAUCUGGGUAAUUGAACUACACGAAAAACUGAUCACAGAGAGCAGAUUGGACAGAGAGAAAAUGGAAACGUGUGCUGUUCGAAAUUACC